UCACCUAGUAAACCUUGUUUCACUAGUCCAACUAAACUCAUGUCACUAACAAGUACCCACCCGAAGAUCCACAACUUAACCAAAACAUGAGAAUCACCACUAGUAACAGAUGUAUAACCAAUAAUAGUAUAACUAUCUAACAAGUAUCUACCUACUAUCUAUGCAUCAAAGUUCAAGAAAAUACCUCGCAUUGUGUUAAAAGAAACUCACCCAUACAUUGAACCUUACAAGCUUUCCGUCACCAAGAUGAACAACUCCACCUUCAACUAGCUAUAGGGAUUCAAAAGUAUUUCUUCUUCAAACACAUGUGAUAGGAGCUUCCAAAGUCCAUAUGACUCAACACUCCAUCGAUUCUCA
rnacentral:lncRNA from 1 species